UGAGGAAUAUUGGUCAAUGGGCGAGAGCCUGAACCAGCCAAGUAGCGUGCAGGAUGACGGCCCUAUGGGUUGUAAACUGCUUUUGUAUGGGGAUAAAGUCAAUCACGUGUGAUUGUUUGCAGGUACCAUACGAAUAAGGACCGGCUAAUUCCGUGCCAGCAGCCGCGGUAAUACGGAAGGUCCGGGCGUUAUCCGGAUUUAUUGGGUUUAAAGGGAGCGUAGGCUGGAGAUUAAGUGUGUUGUGAAAUGUAGACGCUCAACGUCUGACUUGCAGCGCAUACUGGUUUCCUUGAGUACGCACAACGUUGGCGGAAUUCGUCGUGUAGCGGUGAAAUGCUUAGAUAUGACGAAGAACUCCGAUUGCGAAGGCAGCUGACAGGAGCGCAACUGACGCUGAAGCUCGAAGGUGCGGGUAUCGAACAGGAUUAGAUACCCUGGUAGUCCGCACAGUAAACGAUGGAUGCCCGCUGUUGGUACCUGGUAUCAGCGGCUAAGCGAAAGCAUUAAGCAUCCCACCUGGGGAGUACGCCGGCAACGGUG
rnacentral:rRNA from 1 species